UGGGAGGGCCGGGCGGCCGGCAGGCGGGCGCGCGGCGGCGCCCCGUGCGGCACACGUGCCGCGGUCGGCGGUUGGGCCCGGCUGAGACAGCAGCAUGGGACAGGUGGUCUGCAAGAGCCUCUUCCAGUCGCUGUUCGACUACAAGACCGCAAAGUAUGUCAUCGCCAAGAACAAGAAGGUGGGCCUGCUCUACCGGCUCCUGCAGGCCUCCAUCCUGGCCUACCUCGUGAUCUGGGUGUUCCUGUGGAAGAAGGGUUACCAAGACACCGACACCUCCCUGGAGAGCAGCAUCGUCACCAAAGUCAAGGGCGUGACCUUCACUAACACCUCGGAUCUCGGGGCGCGGCUCUGGGAUGUUGCCGACUACGUAAUCCCACCCCAGGGAGAGAACGUCUUCUUCAUUGUCACCAACCUGAUUGUGACCCCUAACCAGCGGCAGGGAACCUGUGCUGAGAGUGAAAACAUCCCUGACGGCCUGUGCUAUAAGGACAGCGACUGCCCUCCUGGGGAGCCUGUUGUGGCUGGAAAUGGAGUGAAGACUGGCCGCUGCCUGCGGGCUGGGAAAAUGCAAAGGGGCACCUGUGAGAUCUUCGCCUGGUGCCCAGUGGAGACAAAGUCCAGGCCAUCGAAGCCACUCCUGGGCAAGGCUGAAGACUUCACUGUUUACAUAAAGAACUUCAUUCGCUUCCCCAAAUUCAACUUCUCCAAGACCAAUGUGCUGGACACCGAAGACAGAUCUUACCUGAAGUUCUGUCAAUUUGACCCCAAGAACCUCUACUGCCCCAUCUUCCGAGUGGGGUCCUUGGUCAGCUGGGCGGGGAGCAACUUCCAGGACAUAGCCCUGCAGGGUGGUGUGAUAGGAAUUCAGAUUGAAUGGGACUGUGAUCUUGAUAAAGCUCCCUCCGAAUGCAAUCCUCGCUAUCAUUUUAGCCGUCUGGACAACCGAUUUUCAGAAAAAUCUGUCUCUUCUGGGUACAAUUUCAGGUUUGCCAAAUACUACCGAGAUACAGAGGGGGUGCAGUUCCGAACUCUGAUGAAAGCCUAUGGGAUCCGCUUUGAUGUGAUGGUGAAUGGCAAGGCAGGGAAGUUCAGCAUCAUCCCCACGAUCAUCAACGUGGGCUCUGGGGUGGCGCUCAUGGGUGCUGGGGCUUUCUUCUGUGACCUGGUGCUCAUCUACCUCAUCAAAAAGAGCAACUUUUACCGCAACAAGAAGUAUGAGGAAGCCAGGGAGCUAGGGGUCUGUCUCCAGCCGGUGGAGUCCUCGCGGCAGGGUGGGGCCCCGGAGACUGAGGACGCGGCGGGGCCAGGGCUGCCAGAGCUGCCAGAGGCGCAGGACGGAGGCGGCAGCCCGAAGGAGAAUGGCUGUGUGUGCCGGCAGCUCCUGGAGCCCGCCAGGUCUGGCCAUCUGGGGAAUGGAAAGGUGAAUGUGGAGCAGCCACAGAACCUGCAGACAGUGGAGGCGUAGCCAGAGGUGUUGGCUGAGCGCAGAUUUGGCGAAGACCUUGGAGGCAGAACCGCCUGCAGCUCUGAACUGGGAAGAGUCGUCGUUGUGUCUGCAUGGGACGGGGCUUCCAGGCACAGCCAUCUCUCCUGCACUUUGGGAUCUUGCUACAAGCUUUUUGUUGUGUGUGUAGGGAGGGGAGCCCCCCAGUGGCUAGAAGGCUCAGAUCUAGAAGAGGAGGCCCUUGGAGAGGGAAGGGCGGCCGGUUUCACUUUUUCUGAGACUCCAAUUGGACAUUGAUGCAUUCAUACAUGCAGUAAACAUUUUUUGCUGUGGGCUGGACCCUAUCCAAGAGAUGCUUAAAUGAGACGCUGACCUGGCCUUCAGGGAGGGGAGCACAUUGUAAUUCCCUCAAGAGCCGAGACGUCACUGCCAGGCUCAGCCACUCCGGCCUUCCUCCAGCCUCUUGCUGAGACCUUCACAAAUGCCUCUAGAGAAUGAUGGCUCCUCAGAGGAAGACCUUAGCCAACAUCCAAGGGGACAUUUGGCUUUGCCCCAGGGAUCAAAUUUAAAGGUGGCAACCAGGAAAGGACUGGACCCAUCAGGAGGCAGCUGGCCCUUGAGGGGAGAGGGAGCCUCCGAGAGCUUCUAGGCCCUGGUGCACCCUCUCUGGAUGACCUGUGUGUAAAUGCGAGGAAAUUCCAGAAGGCCAAGGCUCAGUCCCAGCUCUCCAGGAGUCAAAACUAGGCGAUUCUGCACCCAUGGCAGA